rnacentral:rRNA from 1 species
AAACGAACGUUAGCGGCGCGCCUAACACAUGCAAGUCGAGCGAGAAGGGGGCAAACCCCUGUAAAGCGGCGCACGGGUGAGUAACACGUAGGUAAUCUACCUCGAGGUGGUGGAUAACCUUCCGAAAGGAGGGCUAAUACAGCAUGGGGACCACGUCUUCGAAAAGAGGAUGAGGUAAAAGCGGGCCUCUAUACAUAAGCUCGCGCCACGAGAUGAGCCUGCGGCCCAUCAUGGUAGUUGGUAGGGUAACGGCCUACCAAGCCGAAGACGGGUAGCUGGUCUGAGAGGAUGAUCAGCCACACUGGAACUGAGACACGGUCCAGACUCCUACGGGAGGCAGCAGUGGGGAAUCUUGCGCAAUGGGCGAAAGCCUGACGCAGCGACGCCGCGUGAGUGAUGAAGGCCUUCGGGUUGUAAAGCUCUGUGGAGGGGGACGAAUAAGGGUUGGCUAACAUCCAGCUCGAUGACGGUACCCCUUUAGCAAGCACCGGCUAACUCUGUGCCAGCAGCCGCGGUAAGACA